AAGUUUCAACAACGGAUCUCUUGGCUCUCGCAUCGAUGAAGAACGCAGCGAAAUGCGAUAAGUAAUGUGAAUUGCAGAAUUUAGUGAAUCAUCGAAUCUUUGAACGCACCUUGCGCUCCUUGGUAUUCCUUGGAGCAUGCCUGUUUGAGUAUCAU
rnacentral:rRNA from 1 species